AAGGUUGCCAGUGCUUGUCUGGCAUUUGCCACUACCAGACUGGAGUUUGUGUUUGCCCUCCUAAUGUCAUCGGCAAUUUCUGUGAUGCUUGUAAGGAGAACUAUUUUGGUUACGACCCCAUUGCAGGCUGCAUUGAGUGUGAUUGUGACCCUAGAGGAACUGAAGGGGACAUUAAUAAAUGUGACCGGGUGACUGGCCAGUGCAGUUGCAAACAUAAUGUAGGC